rnacentral:rRNA from 1 species
UACAGAGGUCUCAAGCGUUGUUCGGAUUCAUUGGGCGUAAAGGGUGUGUAGGUGGCGCGCUAAGUCGGGGUGUGAAAUUUCGGAGCUUAACUCCGAAACUGCAUUCGAUACUGGCGUGCUUGAGGACUGGAGAGGAGACUGGAAUUCAUGGUGUAGCAGUGAAAUGCGUAGAGAUCAUGAGGAAGACCAGUGGCGAAGGCGGGUCUCUGGACAGUUCCUGACACUGAGACACGAAGGCCAGGGAGCAACGGG